rnacentral:rRNA from 1 species
GAUGAACGCUGGCGGUGCGCCUAAUGCAUGCAAGUCGAGCGACGCACUCCGGAGGGGUAACCCACUGGAAUGACGGAGCGGCGAACGGGUGAGUAACACGUGAGCAACCUGCCCCGCAGACCGGGAUAGCCCAGGGAAACCUGGAUUAAUACCGGAUACCCUCGUGGGACCGCAUGGUCCGUCGAGGAAAGGCCUUUGUGCUGUGGGAUGGGCUCGCGACUUAUCAGCUAGUUGGUGGGGUAACGGCCUACCAAGGCAUUGACGAGUAGCUGGUCUGAGAGGACGAUCAGCCACACUGGAACUGAGACACGGUCCAGACUCCUACGGGAGGCAGCAGCAGGGAAUCUUGCGCAAUGGGCGAAAGCCUGACGCAGCGACACCGCGUGGGGGAUGAAGGCCUUCGGGUUGUAAACCCCUUUCAGGAGGGAAGAAAUUGACGGUACCUCCACAAGAAGGACCGGCCAACUACGUG